rnacentral:rRNA from 1 species
GAUGAACGCUGGCGGCGUGCCUAAUACAUGCAAGUCGAGCGAACAGACGAGGAGCUUGCUCCUCUGACGUUAGCGGCGGACGGGUGAGUAACACGUGGAUAACCUACCUAUAAGACUGGGAUAACUUCGUGAAACCGGAGCUAAUACCGGAUAAUAUAUUGAACCGCAUAGUUCAAUAGUGAAAGACAGUUUUGCUGUCACUUAUAGAUGGAUCCGCGCCGCAUUAGCUAGUUGGUAAGGUAACGGCUUACCAAGGCGACGAUGCGUAGCCGACCUGAGAGGGUGAUCGGCCACACUGGAACUGAGACACGGUCCAGACUCCUACGGGAGGCAGCAGUAGGGAAUCUUCCGCAAUGGGCGAAAGCCUGACGGAGCAACGCCGCGUGAGUGAUGAAGGUCUUCGGAUCGUAAAACUCUGUUAUUAGGGAAGAACAAAUGUGUAAGUAACUAUGCACGUCUUGACGGUACCUAAUCAGAAAGCCACGGCUAACUACGUG